rnacentral:misc_RNA from 1 species
GUAUUGUAUUGCGUUAAACGCGGUGUACAUUCCAUGAGACUUGGUUACAGUGUGUGUGUGUUAAAUCCAUAGGACCACAGCAGGGGGGACGGUGCCCCCAGGCCACAGAACUAUGAAGGGUGCACAGGUGUAAGUGGAUGUGUAAACAGAGCGUGCACAUGCCCCCGUUUGAGGACCAGCAACAGCUCGUGUUGACAAUUCGGUAAUGAUCCUUCCGCAGGUUCACCUACGGAAA